rnacentral:lncRNA from 1 species
CUUUGAGUUCCAUUUAAGCAGUCCUUCCUUCCUUCCUUCCUUCCUUCCUUCCUUCCUUCCUUCCUUCCUUCCUUCCUUCCUUCCUUCCUUCCGAAAAGUUGACAGAUGAGGACCGCUGGACUAGGGAAGCAGGCCAUGCUCACGACCUGGGCCUAAGCUAAGGAAAGGCCUGGCUACCGUCCUUGCCGCCCCUCGGCGUCCAGCAGACUGACCGACUGGGACUGCAAUACAAUCCCGCAAACCACAAGUAAGCGAGCCGCCCCUGCCCCCAGCCGCUGCAGGAGGGUCUGUUCUGAGCCGCGAGAGCAGCGCCAAGGGACCAGAGAGGCUAUUUUAAGGUUGUUUCCACGCCCUUUAUCCCCCCUCCCACAGCUCACCCCCUUACCCGGCCCCCAUCCAACAAACAGACAGACAGAAAAACAAACAAGGCCCAAGGCCCACUCUGUUCUCACGCAGAAGCCACAAGGCCCCUCCCUCCGAAUUCCUCCGGAGUCUGAGCCACUUGGGCAUCGGAAGUGGACCGUUUGGCCAAUUGUGUAAAACGGGAUUAGCCUGAUUUGCUUAUUUCGGUUUUUACAAGAGUUGAUGGGUAGGGCUUUGGCGGAGGUAGGGGCAGGCAGAGUGGAGAUGGACUGACCGGUUUAUGGAGGCUAGAUUGCUGGUGCUUCUUUCUUCAGAGGUGGACCUUCACAAGGUAGCGAGACCUGGAGGCGUUUAACAACGAUAGAAUGAAGUGAAAAAAACUGGAGCCGCUGCACCAGAAGGCUUAAGUGGAUUUUGUAUAUGUUAUAUGCUCUUAUUAAAUUGUAAAUUCCAUGAGGACAGUGUCCCAAUCUUAGCUAGACUUAAAAAUCUCCCCCAAUUCUUGGUACAGUGUUUUUGCACAGUGUAUGUAUUUAAUUAUUGUUUUUUGAAUUGAAUUGUGUAUGACAAUAUCUGUGGAACGGGCAUUGGACAGUACAGGGUAGGGUGGUUAAAAGCACUAGAUUUGGAGACAGCAAACUUUUUUUUUUGGCAGGAGGUUGGGUGUGGGGGUGGGAACCAGCCUCUGCUAUUUACAAGCUAUGUGACUUUGGCCAAGUCACUUAUCUCUCUCAGCUUCAGUUAUCUCAUUUGAAAAACG